rnacentral:misc_RNA from 1 species
GGAGGUGAGGAAGGCCGAUGUCGUUUAGGAACUUCAUUUGCAUAUUUCUGUUUUGGCAGAUGAUUUUCAAAUCUUUAUUACGCAUAUAGCAUAUCUACAGAAAGAUAGAGAUCUCUACACAAAGUGAUAUGAUGAGAUCGGACACGAACGUUGAAACACGAACACGAUUAGACGGAAGACAGUCUUUGACUAGACGCCGAUUUACCAGAGUUACCAACAGCGGUGUAAACGGGGCAUUUGAAAACGACCUUGCAUUGGCGAUGCAAGAGAGUUUGAGAUACGCAAAACAGGAAGAAGCCAACAAAAAAAGGAAACAAGAGGAAAACAUUAUUGAAAGAAACGGGUUAGAUGUCCAAAACAAAGUCGGAGAAGUAACGAUGAGCGGCAGAGCUUGCAUGGAAUCCCCUCAGGGGCCAAAACAACUGAAGGAACUUUUGUUGUUACAUGUCGAUCUUGUUCAACAUCAGCAAGAACUUCUCUCCCAAAAAGACAAGGCAAUAAAAGCUUUGCAUGAAGAAAGAACAGCAUUAACAUGUCGUCUAGACCGGAUGGAGAGGCGGAUGUCACUUUUAAAGCAGAAAGAUGACUACUCCGAUAUACAAAACAAGUCAUUUGGAAGUCCAAACUCAUGUGCGCAGUCUGCAUCAAAGACAACACAUGAACAAGCAUCAACUUCAGUAGACCGAGGAACAAAGCGAAAGUCGGCUGGCCUGGAGCCUCAGAAUCUCACCAAAAGGUUUACAGCAGAAGCCCAAAAACCACUAGCUUCAUCAACCCCAAGUCACCGUACCGAGCGACACCAGCGAUACAGAAAUAGGUCUGCCACAGUAUCUUCAACAGUAUCCUCUACCCUUAGCAUUGACCCUGCAACCUCCAACACUGCUAGUUCUCGCAAGAACCGUCGGUCGGCCAAAUGUAUCCGCGAUAGUCCGGACAACUCUGUGUUACGCACCAGUGACCCUUAUUAUGUGGCAUACUAUGAACCCCCAGACUCGGAAGACAUUGACCUGGAAUCUCGAGGGGACAUCGUCCAGGGGGCACAAAAAGAGCUGCAAGUUGAAUUACCACAGUGGCAAAAUAGAACCUACACCAAUCUGUGGGUACUGGAGGGAACAGAGAAUCUCGAGGAUGAAGUAUUUCUUAAAAGACACCAGAAGCCUGAGAUAGAAGAGAAACGAAGAAAGAGAUGGGAUCUACAAAGAAUCCGGGAGCAAAAGAUCUAUGAGAAACUUAAAGAAAAGGAGCGAGGAGAAGUGUGCACCAAAGAUGAGGGACAACAGUCUACCCUCGAGUCUUUCUACCCCAGCCUUGAUAAUAUUACACAUAUAGAGGUAACUAACAAAAUCCCUGUAAUGGUGUUUGGACAUCCUGUGCCAAAUCUAGACAAAAUGGAAUUUUCAUUACCAUGGGAACUAGAAACAAGUGCAUGUGCGCAUCCAUCUCGGUCUAGUCGGAGCAGCCGCCAUACAUAGUAAAGCUACAGACGUGAUUGAAUCCCACCAGACUACUGCCCCGGGACCCACCAGUCAUAUCAUCACAGCUGUGCUUCAUAAUGCAUCCUCAUUCAGUACCAGGUUGCCAAACUGCUCUUCAGGAAAACAUUGAGGUUGAAAUCCAGCUUUCCUUGUAAAGUUUUGACAAUUUAAAUUGAUAUAGGAGCAAACAAGUUAAGCUGUUUUAUGAACGAUCAUAUACAAAGUGGAGAGCAUUUAUAUAUAGUCUGAAUUGCUGUCUAUUGCUGAGAAAGUCACCGCCUAAGCAAUUUGCACAACCAUCUGUGUUGUGUUCAUUUACCUGUACAAAUGGUAGAUUGGAACUGGUUCUCAUAUAAAAUGGAACAAACCUGUGUGAUUUUGAUACACAACACAUCAUCUGGUUUAGAUCUGUGCGAUUAAUGUCCCUCAACGCCGCAGCGUCACAGUGCAAGUUCAGGCAUAGAGUUGGUCACACUAGAUCAAACAAUGAUCCAGUGUCAUAAAGCAAAGUACUGAAUUGUGUUAGAGGCUUUGGAAAUAUUUUUCAAUCGACCAAUUGUUACUGUGUUCAUCAUUUUAAAUGUACUGGGAUCAUUCAUUUUAAUAGAAACAAUAGCAUUGCCUGUUUCAUGUGGUGCCAAAUGUUAUAUCAAAGCCUUGUGCAAUGUUAUAUUUGAUCAUCAUUCAUCAUCAUCAUCAUUGCCAACCAUAACUUUUGACAACUGACAUAACAUAACGGUGUGUGGCUAGUGUGUACCAUCGGGUGUAAUGUUGUUUACAUUGUCGUAAAUAUCACAGUCGUGGUGCCAACUAACACUAUGUAAUAGCAUUGUACAGUAGGUUGGGGGAUUUCUUUGACCUGAUAGUAAGAGCAUGAAAUCUUAAAUGGGUUUGUUGACUUGAAGUAUUACAGGACGUAGUAAAAUCCACCUUAGUUAGUAGUGCUUUUUUUUUGGGAUGUGAUUUUUAUCAAAAGUUUGUAGUUUUGAUAAAAGAAAAAUCCAAAUUUCUUUAAAUUAGAAUUGCUAUCACAAUAAAUCCUGUGCUAUUGUUGUACACCAGACAAUUAACCAAAUGCCUCCUUAACUAACAGUAUUGAAGGUUAGCUCGGUGUGUAUUUUAUAUUUAUGUUGAAACAUCCAUAUAGAAUCUUAUAAAUGUUUUGCAGUUACUUAGUCAUGGAUGGAUACAAAAAAAAAUGAUAAAGUGGUAUGGUAGCCAAAACAUCAUAAAGUGACAGAAUUUAUUGUAAGAAUUCUAGUUCAUAUUCUUACCAUUGUGUGUGUUCUAGGCACUUUAUAGAAAUUCCAUUAUGUUUUUUGUCUUCAGAUCUGGCAGUUUUAAACAAGUGACAAUUUUGCUGAAUGAGGAAUGAUUCUGUUGAAAUGUGCAUUUUCUUUUGACUGGUUGACCAGUGAAAUAUGUACUAACCCAAAAUAAAAGAACAGAUUUUUGUACAAGUAUUGCCAACUACUGUACCAAAGAAUUUGCAUUAAAAGUAUUUGUACACGUAGUAAAAGAGAACUGUAAUGUAGUGUGGGCAUAUUUGGGUGAUGUGACUGAGGAAAGUCUGAUGGACUUGAUUUGGUAUGGAAUGGUAAAAGGGAGAUUCCUUUGUAGCAACAAUAUGGCGGUUUGUUAGUAGUGAUCUCGAUAUUUUAAAAUCUUUUCCUUGAUAACUUUGAAAUGAUUGUCAUGUGUUUUGUAAGUUUGCUUAUGCCUAGUUGUGUAUUCAGAUAAUUGUUGAAGUUUGAGAGUAUUUAAAACGUUUAUAUAUGAAAGUUUUACUUAUUUAUUUUAGAGUGACAUGAAGAGAUGAAUGUUUUUAGUCAGUUUUGUGAAUAUUGUACAGUAUGGAAACAGAUUUUAUGUUUAUUGUGACAUUUUGUUUGUACAGUACAUAUUUGAAAAAGUGUUGAGAAAUCCUGGAGAUGUCUGAAUUCUACUGGUGACUGGAAAGGUCUGUUGUCUGUCGUUUUUGCUGAAGCAAGUUCUCUUUUGAUUGUAUGCAUAUUCAAAUAUCAAUCUUUUUAUGGAUAUUAUUUGUUAGAAAUUCAGGAGAUGAAAGCGUUGUUUUGAGGAAUCGGUAUAGGAUACUUUAUGUUUGAAAGUAUACUUAGAUUUAAUCAGUGGUUCUGCUUGUUUUAAUAUUUUAUUAAUGUAUUAAUUGUUUCAUAUCUAGGUUUUCUAAUAUAAAUGGCAUUCAGUAAUGUAGGCGUCUCCUGCUGCAUGGUACACUGGCCAGUAACUUUGUAUUUAGUACAGGAUUGUAAAAUGACGAUGCCGUGUACGGGAACAUUUCCUUGUGUGGCCAUUAUCAUGGUAAAGACAAAAGAUUAGUCAUGUUGUAAUGUUGUUGACAAAUGUUCUAAGAGUAAUAUACAUUGUGAUGUUUCUGAGCCCUCAUUUAGUAGGACACACUAUAAUUAAUAAAACUCAAAAGAUAAUACAUUCAUUGUUGAAGUUUUCACAUUUUGAUAUAUUUAAACCAAUUUCCUGUUAAUUACACCCUGAAGGUAAGUAUUUCAUACCAAAUACUGUAAAAGUUUUUCACAUGGUUCUGAAUAUUUUUUGCUGUGUGCAGUAACUUUUUUUUUGGCGAAAAAAUUUGAUCUGCAAAAUUUAUUGGAAACAAAAACAUGUGUCAUGGCCACUAGCCCUAAAAUCUGCGAAAAAUUGACCAUUUGAGUAAAUGCUGUAAAAAGGGUUUACAGUAGAUCUAUACCAAAUGAGAGGAAUUGGUAAGACAGAUGCGCAGCAAUUAUGCUCACUGAGAAAUGUUUCAUAUCAGUGUAUCAUAAGUACACUUUAAACUAGCCAUGUAAAAUAUAGGGAAGACUAUGAUAAUUGCUAUCACACGAAAUGUAUUGGGUUCAUUGUAUGAGAGAUUUGUAUGUUGUACCAACAUACUUGAUUUUGAGAGAUUUAGAGUGUUGUACAAAUCUACUAUUGUUCUGGACCAAGUGCUUUGCAUGUCAUUGCCAGUUGUCCACUUAUGUAUGGGAUAUUUACAUAUGAAAACCAAUAAAACAAAAUUGUGA